rnacentral:lncRNA from 1 species
UAUAAGUCUCAAAGUCACUUCAUAAACCAAGUCACUAAUUAAUCACAUUAAGCAGGUCACCUGUCCUUCAACAUUCUUUUUGUUUUUUUUUGUUUUUUUUUGUUUUUUUUUUGUUUUCGAGACAGGGUUUCUCUGUAUAGCCCUGGCUGUCCUGGAACUCACUCUGUAGACCAGGCUGGCCUCGAACUCAGAAAUCCGCCUGCCUCUGUCCCCUGAGUGCUGGGAUUAAAGGUGUGUGCCACCAUGCCCCGCAACUUUUCUUAAUUUUAUAUAAAAUAACUUUGAUCUUCCUAAUUUGUAGAGUUAUUUCUAAGUAAAUUUCUACAAAUUUAUAUUCUUCAUGUGAACAGAGGAGACAUGUCUUUUCAAACACUGCUAUUUGCUAUUUGAGUACUCUCUUGGAAACAGAACUUUUUUAAAAGUAAACAUUUUGUUCCACUUUAUAAUGGAUUGGUUCAGUGGCUAAUUUCCUUUCGCACAUAACUUAAGAAUGGCCAGUUAUAGUUGUGAGCGUAUUCCCCUCAGAGAAACAGUUUGUGACUGAAGUGCUUCUCUUAUUUUUGCUUCCUGAAUUGAUUUUUGGAAGGGAGGGUUAGGGAUGGGUGGAGUAAACAGUGAGUUCUUGGGGGAAGUGGUAUGUACUAUACUGGGUGUUCAGAACAUUUUGAAUGUGUUUUAAGUUUUAUUCGUGCCUUGUAAGAUUGUUGUAAAAUCAAAAUUUGUGAGCACUUUGAAAGUUUUGCUUGUGGGGAGGGUGUUUUAUAAUGUGGUUGUUAUUUAUAUUAUUUAUUUCCAUUACGUGGACAAAUUGAUCCUAGGAGCUGGGCAAAGUGCACAUGCCUAUAAUUCUAGCACUUGGGAGAUAGAGGCAAGAGAUUCAGUUCAGGGCCAGCCUUUCUUAUAUAUAGCUAAGUUUUAGGCCAGCCUCAUAUACAGGAGACAUUGUUUUAAGGAAAACAAAAUAAAAAAGUAAAACAAAACAAAAACAUUCCUGGGAGAGCAUCCGCUUGCAUGACAUUUCUGAAAAAUUCAGCAAAGUAGAAUCUGUAAAGAUAUGAAGGUAUGACAAAGUAAAGUGUAGCAUUUAUUCAUUUUAAAUACUUUUAGCUGUUUGUUUAUGUCAGAAAAAGCAGUAUAUUUGGGUUGAACCUAGUAUGUACUGCAUUUAAAUGUGUAAAAGAUCUUGAAAAGGUUGUUACUUUGUUGUAGAGAAAAUCCUUUCCUCUUUUCAUUGGAUGUAAUUAUGUUUGUAUGAAACAAUAAACCGGAGGUGGGAAUGG